GUUGCAAGGUAAAUUGACUUCCGGUAGAAUUUUUUAACUAUAUAAAGAAACCAUACCCGAAGAUUUUUAUCACCACUUUUACAGCAGAUCAUAAAUGGAAACUUAAUUGUCAUAUACGAUGUUACAGAGUAGGUACCAAAUUGUGCUAUUUAUUCACUGUAGAUCUAGAUCUUAACUUUUCUCUUAACUACCAAAGAAGUACACAAAGGAUGUUGAAUGAUACCCAAAGGGUUCUAAUUGCUACCAUUCAAUGUGUGGAAUCAAGUAUUUACCCAGAUACUGCCACAAUAUGCUCUUAUUGUUUUCAAAGGAGUUUUCACACAGUGCCAGAAGCUGUAUAAAUACAUUUAACAAUGUAUAUUUCAAGAAGAAAUGAUGCUUUCUUAUUUCUAAGAGUUUAUCAAUUGGAUGAAUGCCACAAAACUCACUUGUUAUGCCAGAAACUCUUCCUACGAAACUUCCAUACUAGAAUUUGUCCAGUGCCUGUGAUCCUCUGAGUUAAAGGAGAAUGUGCUCCAUAAUACCUGCUAGUAGCUUGCUGAUAGCUGGAAGUUCAUGAAUACUAUGUUGUCCUUGAUUUGAUGAUUCUGAAAACUACCAUUUCUUAAGACUUGAGCAUUAUUUCUAUAAUUUAAACAAAUC